CAGCCGCCGCGGGAAUACGGAGGGAGCUAGCGUUGUUCGGAAUUACUGGGCGUAAAGCGCGCGUAGGCGGUUACUCAAGUCAGAGGUGAAAGCCCGGGGCUCAACCCCGGAACUGCCUUUGAAACUAGGUGACUAGAAUCUUGGAGAGGUCAGUGGAAUUCCGAGUGUAGAGGUGAAAUUCGUAGAUAUUGGGAAGAACACCGGUGGCGAAGGCGGCUCACUGGCUCGUAUCUGACGCUCAGGCGCGAUAGCGUGGGGAUCAAACAGGAUUAGAUACCCCAGUAGUCCCUGUCUCUUAUAC
rnacentral:rRNA from 1 species